AUGUAUGUAUUGGUUAAUGUGCUCAGUCUGAAGGUACAAUUUAACCUCAGUUAUUGGGAGUCUCAGCCAGGACACUGCUGGCAUAGGGCACCUGAGACCUGCAGGAGUUUCGCCACCCUGGGGUCCCGCUGCCCUCUUGUCCUCCCAAAGCGGAUCAGCCCGAGGACUCUGCCUUCCCUUCCCCGCCGUGCCACGUCCCCCACCACCAUCAGCACCACCACCAGCACCCCUCUUCCUCUCCCCCUGCCGCGGCUCUUGCCGCUCCCCGACACGCCGAGCCACCCGCACCCCGAGCGGGGCUGCUGGUGGGCACCCCCAGACCCGGGGCAGGUGCCUGUGGGGCAACAGGUACUCCCCACCACCAGCACCACCAUCUCCAGCCGCUCUCCCCAGCACCCCCGAGGACCAGGGGGGACCCGAUGCGGUGCCGGGGGGAACCCCGGAGCCGGGAGGGGGUCGCGCCUCCCAGCCCCUGCUUACUUACUUGGGGCGGCGAGAGGCUCUUCUCCCGCAGCUGAGAGGGGCGAGCCGCGGGUGUCCCCGGUGCGGAGCUGCUGCUGCUGGUGGUGGUGCUACUGGUGGUGCUGGUGCCGCAGCGCGUCCCUUCGCUUCCCCACGGACGGGCUCUUCUUCUUCUUUUUCUUCUUAUUCUUCUCCUCCUCCUCCUCCUCCUCUUCCUCCUCCUCCUCCUCCUCCUCCCACGCCCCGCCGCUCUCUCCGGCCGGGGGAUUUCUUUGCGAGAUUUUUAUACCGGAGGCAGGGAACCUGAUCCUCCGCGCUUUGACUCGACAGAGCCCGGGCUGCGGCGAGCCGGCGAGAGGAGGGAGGCGAGGCGGGCGCCGGGGCAGAGCGAGCGGCCGCGCUGCCCCCUCGUGUGAUGCGGCGGGGGCGCCGGCGGGAGGGUCACCCGCGGGGCAGCCUCGCCCCCGCCGCCGGGGGAGGGAUGGAGGAAGGGGGCCGGGUGCGGGACGGGGCCGCUCCGCCCGAGGACGGGGCUCCGGGGGGCUCCCGGGGCGCCCCCCGCCGCCGGGGGUGCUGGAGGGGCGCGGGGCCCCCGGCUGA
rnacentral:lncRNA from 1 species